AAAGAAAAGAAAAGAAAAGAAAAGAAAGGAAUUGCCCUACAUAAAUUCUAUUUUUCUUACAAAAUAACUUAGUUUCCUAACAUAAGGCGGAAUUUAUUUUCCGAUCGGAAUAACUUUGCUGAUCUGCUUAGCUGGUUGCCGAUCUGCUUGAUAAGCAGUCGGUAAAGUGUAAAGCGGUGUAAGGUAGAAUAUGUAGAAAUUUAGAAAUUUAAUGUAAAGCUGGUAAAUUUAAUUAAAUAAUGUUCUUGUGCUUAACGGUGGCGCUGCUGAUUGAUGAACUCCAAAAAAAGACCUCCUGGUCGGGCAAUGUAUGCAUCCCUCACUGGUCUCAGUGGCCUCACUGGUUAAUUUUUGAAAUAAAUUAUUCUCCUUUUUUAUGCCCUUAACAAAAAAAUUCUAAACCACAACACAGGUACAAAACUUACCCUCUAGGAGUAGGCACUAAAGUUAACGAAAAUAUAAAAUUUUCACCGCUGAUUCACUGGGUAUUCUACGUCUCUCUUUUUUUGUAAUUUUGAGAGAUCACUAUAUUUUUGCCUUUUGGACAGACCGGACGCACUUUCUUGCUGGCUGGCUUAAACUCAAUUAAUGCCCAGUGGCUACCGCUUCGGGUCGGGACCCCGAGUCUGAACUCCAAAAAUUCAGUUGGAGAAAUGUUCUACAUGACGGCCUAAUUAACAUUUUUCCCGACCUAAAUAAGUGCCAACUUUUAGGACGAGAUCGCAAAUCUCAAAUCUCACUUGGGGUAAGAUAUUGUCACGCUGUUUUGUCCUUGGAGCUUGGAUCUAGUGGGAUCUGCCAGAAUGCAUCCUUAAGGUCUAAGGUAGUAAUGAAUUCAGCUUUAGGGAGUCAACUCAAUAUUCCAUUUAUUAAGGGCAUAGGGUAUGCAUCUUUUACUGUCACCUCAUUUUACUUUCGGCUAUCGAUACAAAGCCUAACUUUUCCUGGUUUUUGCACCAGGACUACUGUGGAGGACCAAGCGCCGGAUGAUUCUUCAAUGACCUAUGCGAUACGGCAUAGUGUCUUUGUUUUACUGGCUUUGCUUAAGCAACAUCAACGGAGUGGGUGAUCAAUUGGGUCCUUCCUAAUCCUUUUAUCGCAUACGACGGGAAAAGUUGAACAACCUGAAGCAGCGUUUUCUGCUGGCUUUGAGUAAGCUCUCGAGCCGAAGGCCCUUCUAAGACUGCCACUACAUGGUUGUUGCCGCAGAAAGCUUCAGGUAGCAGCUGAAAGUGUUUCCAAAAAUCUAUGCCUAAAUAGAGAUCCCCUGCUAAAGAUGGAACUACGUAGAAGGUAAUCAUUUUGUUCCCAUUUCGGAAGGACACUUCAGUGAUUUCACGGCCGGUAAUUUUUUGAGAUUGUCCAUCGGCUGUUUUAACAUCUGCGGUAAAUUUCUGGCAUAAAAUAUUUAGUCCUGGCAGUUCUGUGGCCAGACUAUCACCUAUGCAGCUAACAGAUGCCCCUGUAUUUAAUAAGCCCACUACUGUUUUUCCCAGCAUUUGCACCUGAUCAUACGGCCUAACGUCGCGAAGUUGCCCCACCAUGGCUGAGAGAAGCAGCUUCCGUUCUUCCUUUCUUAGUUUUUUCUUUUUUCCCUGCGAACUUUUGAUCGGCUUGUAUCUGUGCCAUCGAGCUUUUGUUGGAGCUGGUCCAUCUCAAAGGUUGUAGAUACACCGCUACUUGUUUGGUUGAAAUCGCUUAAUUGGUCAUCGUCGAUUUCGAAACCAUCUGUCUGCGUGCCUUUGCGGAACGCCCUUGCUGGUUUUUUUGAGCGUAACUACUACAUUUACUGCAUGACGGCGUAUAAGUAUCUGCUUUACCGCAGCCAUAACAGAAGACACGUAUGUCCGCGGUGCACUCCUGAUAUCUGUGACCCUUUUCCCGGCAGUUGCAGCACUGCAAUUCCAUGGCCGCUAACUCUAUGUCUUAUCAUCGAGUUCCGAUUCUGACUCGAUUUGGCGUUGGACCUCGCAAACCUGUCGCCUGGGUACCUGGCGUUGUGGAAAUACCUGAGGCUUCCCCACGCUUUGCAUGAAGAUUUCCCGAGUCCUAACCAACCUUCUUAAUUCGGAAACUGUAUACGCUCAUAUAAAAUUUCGUGCUGAAUUUCGGGUUGGAGAUUGGCUCGUAUGGGCCAUGGACAUGGGCAAUAGUCUAUCCGCAAGAGUUGCGAUUACCCACCCGGUAGAAAUCAUCGAAUAAUUCGUUUUCACUGGUCUAUCUCGGCCCUGAUAUUCUUGUCAGUUCGGUCGUCCUUAAAUUGCCCUUUUAGUGCGGCGCAUAAUUCAUACCAGCGCACAACGGUUACACUUUUGUGGUAACGCCAAUACCACUCGCUCGCAAUACCAUCGAAUAACGUAAUGGUAUUUUGAGCCACGAGCUGAAGAUUACCGUCCAAUGUUUGACCGGCUAAAGCUUCGACUCGAUCAACGACCACAACGAGUGGGGACGCUCGAUUUUAAGGCGGAGGACUGAAGACCAAAAGAAUUCGAAACAACAAAUAGCGAAAGAUUGCACGCGCAUCUGGCCGUGCAGCUGCAAUAACCUGAAAAUGCAAGAUGGAGCGCUUCCCGCGGGAGCGACGACGGCAGCCAACAGCACCGACGCAGGCAGAGGAAGCGACAGAGCUGGGGGACUAUCAAGAAAACUUGUAAUUCAGAUUUAGUUCCAAUUUUUGUGUAAAAAAAUUCGGACGGGCAUGGAAUAAAUAGCCUAUCUUUUAUUUAACUUAUAUAUAAA